UCCCGGUUGGCCCGGGCGGUCUCGCCAGAAAAUACAACUGACGACGAGGGUUGCGCUCGUUGCGGGACUUAACCCAACAUCUCACGACACGAGCUGACGACGGCCAUGCAGCAUCUGUCACCAGGUUCCCGAAGGCACUUCUGGCUUUCGCCAAAAUUCCUGGGAUGUCAAACCUCGGUAAGGUUCUUCGCUUAGCUUCGAAUUAAACCACAUCCUCCUCUGCUUGUGCGGGUCCCCGUCAAUUCCUUUGAGUUUUAAGCUUGCGCUCGUACUCCCCAGGCGGAUCACUUAUCGCGUUAGCUUCGUAGCACAAAGGGUCGAAUCUUCAUACUACUAGUGAUCAUCGUUUACGGCGUGGACUA
rnacentral:misc_RNA from 1 species